rnacentral:rRNA from 1 species
ACGUCUAUAUACGUAUAGCAUAUCAAUAAGCGGAGGAAAAGAAACUAACUAAGGAUUCCCUCAGUAACGGCGAGUGAAGCGGGAAGAGCUCAAAUUUGAAAUCUUCAAGGUUCUACCUUGACGAAUUGUAGUUUAAAGAAGUGUUUUCUGUUGAAGUUUUGGUAAAAGUUCUUUGGAAUAGGACAUCAUAGAGGGUGAGAAUCCCGUAUUUGACCAGUUAUUUCAGCUGUGUGAUACACUUUCAAAGAGUCGGAUUGUUUGGGAAUGCAGUCCAAAAUGGGUGGUAAAUUUCAGCUAAAGCUAAAUACUGGCGAGAGACCGAUAGCGAACAAGUACCGUGAGGGAAAGAUGAAAAGAACUUUGAAAAGAGAGUUAAACAGUACGUGAAAUUGUCAAAAGGGAAGCGUUUGACACCAGUGUUGUUUUCUCGAAAAUCAAUUAAAAAUGAGUGGAUUUUGUGUUGUAUUGACUUUAUCAGCUUUCUGCACUCUUUUCUUAUCUUUUUUAAUGCACUUUUCGUUUAACAAGUCAACAUCAAUUUCUUUUGUUGUAAAAGAGUCAUUGGAAGGUGGCUUUCUUUUCGGAGAAAGUGUUUAUAGCCUUUGGCUUCUGCAAUCGGAGAGAUUGAGGUCUGCAGCGUAGAUCCUUCGGGGUUAGAUACAUUUGUGCUAAGUUAUAGCCUUUCAUAGACAACUUGUUGACUAUGAUCAGUCAUGUAGCUCACUCGCUUAUGCUAUUUUACCUACGCUUAGGAUGUUGACGAUCAGCUGAGCGCG